GACGAACGCUGGCGGCGUGCUUAACACAUGCAAGUCGAACGGAAAGGCCCUGCUUUUGUGGGGUGCUCGAGUGGCGAACGGGUGAGUAACACGUGAGUAACCUGCCCUUGACUUUGGGAUAACUUCAGGAAACUGGGGCUAAUACCGGAUAGGAGCUCCUGCUGCAUGGUGGGGGUUGGAAAGUUUCGGCGGCUGGGGAUGGACUCGCGGCUUAUCAGCUUGUUGGUGGGGUAGUGGCUUACCAAGGCUUUGACGGGUAGCCGGCCUGAGAGGGUGACCGGCCACAUUGGGACUGAGAUACGGCCCAGACUCCUACGGGAGGCAGCAGUGGGGAAUAUUGCACAAUGGGCGGAAGCCUGAUGCAGCAACGCCGCGUGCGGGAUGACGGCCUUCGGGUUGUAAACCGCUUUCGCCUGUGACGAAGCGUGAGUGACGGUAAUGGGUAAAGAAGCACCGGCUAACUACGUGCCAGCAGCCGCGGUGAUACGUAGGGUGCGAGCGUUGUCCGGAUUUAUUGGGCGUAAAGGGCUCGUAGGUGGUUGAUCGCGUCGGAAGUGUAAUCUUGGGGCUUAACCCUGAGCGUGCUUUCGAUACGGGUUGACUUGAGGAAGGUAGGGGAGAAUGGAAUUCCUGGUGGAGCGGUGGAAUGCGCAGAUAUCAGGAGGAACACCAGUGGCGAAGGCGGUUCUCUGGGCCUUUCCUGACGCUGAGGAGCGAAAGCGUGGGGAGCGAACAGGCUUAGAUACCCUGGUAGUCCACGCUGUAAACGGUGGGUACUAGGUGUGGGGUCCAUUCCACGGGUUCCGUGCCGUAGCUAACGCUUUAAGUACCCCGCCUGGGGAGUACGGCCGCAAGGCUAAAACUCAAAGGAAUUGACGGGGCCCCGCACAAGCGGCGGAGCAUGCGGAUUAAUUCGAUGCAACGCGUAGAACCUUACCUGGGUUUGACAUGGAUCGGGAGUGCUCAGAGAUGGGUGUGCCUCUUUUGGGGUCGGUUCACAGGUGGUGCAUGGCUGUCGUCAGCUCGUGUCGUGAGAUGUUGGGUUAAGUCCCGCAACGAGCGCAACCCUUGUUCACUGUUGCCAGCGCGUUAUGGUGGGGACUCAGUGGAGACCGCCGGGGUCAACUCGGAGGAAGGUGGGGAUGACGUCAAGUCAUCAUGCCCCUUAUGUCCAGGGCUUCACGCAUGCUACAAUGGCUGGUACAGAGAGUGGCGAGCCUGUGAGGGUGAGCGAAUCUCGGAAAGCCGGUCUCAGUUCGGAUUGGGGUCUGCAACUCGACCUCAUGAAGUCGGAGUCGCUAGUAAUCGCAGAUCAGCAACGCUGCGGUGAAUACGUUCCCGGG
rnacentral:rRNA from 1 species